GCCUCUCAGUGGGAAGGUCAGAGAACAGCAACUGCCUCUCAGUCUCUUUGAAUCACCAUCAUCCUCUCACAAGAAGAGAAGAAAAGAUCUACCAGAGUUCAGUCUCCAGCAUAUCAGUAUGCAGUCAAGAGGCUUACAAGAUACCGGGUUGCAGACAAGCAGACAGUGUUUGAUACAAGGUGUGAAGGAUACAGAAAUCAGGUGAAAAAUCAUCCUUGUCCUCAAGGAAUAUGCUGUCUGCUGGGGUGUGGGUGAAGAGGACAAUUCUUCUAAUGCAAUAUCACUAAAUGAUCAUAUUCUUAUUUUGUAUGAUGAAAUUCGC